CACCCAUCUUGUGAGCUGUUGAGGGAGAACAAGCACAGGCUGCAGAGGGAAAAUGAUUCUCUCAAGGCAAAAAUAGCAACAUUGAAAUUGCUGCCAGACGUUUUGCAGAAGAUGGAGGAGUUUCUUCGCUCAGCACCAAGACCAACGACAACACCAAUACCAACACCAACACCAAGACCAAGACCAAGACCAAGACCAGAACCAACACUAUCACCAGCACCAACAGCAGUUCCACCACCAGCAACAGAAGACCCAUCACCAGCACCAGGUCAUUCCAAAAGGACUUGUGGAGCGCUGCUCCUUCCAAAGCCCCCAGAAGUUCAUAAAUGAUCUCCUACAUGGGAUGUAUACCAGGGAAUAUAUGGCAGGCCAUUCAGUGACUGACCAGUCAUCCAGCAGCUGCACAGAAGGAAAACCUGGCCUAGCCAAACAUGACCUUGUUGAAA